AACUCAGUGGUGGCCACUGCGCAGACCAGACUUCUCUCGUUCUCGCACGCCUCGCUCCGCUUUUCCUCCACAACCAUGUCUGACAAACCCGAUAUGGCUGAGAUCGAGAAAUUCGAUAAGUCGAAACUGAAGAAGACAGAGACUCAAGAGAAAAAUCCACUGCCUUCCAAAGAAACGACUGAACAGGAGAAGCAAGCAGGCAAAUCGUAG
rnacentral:lncRNA from 1 species